rnacentral:rRNA from 1 species
GGUUAAGUGACUAAGCGUACACGGUGGAUGCCUUGGCAGUCAGAGGCGAUGAAAGACGUAGUAACUUGCGAUAAGCCCAGAUUAGGUAGUAACAACCAUUUGAGUCUGGGAUUUCUGAAUGGGGAAACCCACGUGCAUAAGCACGUAUCCUUACCUGAAUACAUAGGGUAAGGAGGCGAACCGGGGGAACUGAAACAUCUAAGUACCCCGAGGAAAAGAAAUCAACCGAGAUUCCGAAAGUAGCGGCGAGCGAAAUUGGACUAGCCCUUAAGCUUUACACGCGUUAGACGAACGGUCUGGAAAGUCCGACGAUACAGGGUGAUAGUCCCGUAGUUGACGACGUGUGUUCAGUGAAAUCGAGUAGGGCGGGACACGUGAUAUCCUGUCUGAAUAUGGGGGGACCAUCCUCCAAGGCUAAAUACUACUGACUGACCGAUAGUGAACCAGUACCGUGAGGGAAAGGCGAAAAGAACCCCUGUGAGGGGAGUGAAAUAGAACCUGAAACCGUGUACGUACAAGCAGUAGGAGCAGGCUUUGUCCUGUGACUGCGUACCUUUUGUAUAAUGGGUCAGCGACUUAUAUUCAGUGGCAAGGUUAACCAUCUAGGGGAGCCGUAGGGAAACCGAGUCUUAACUGGGCGUUCAGUCUCUGGAUAUAGACCCGAAACCAGGUGAUCUAGCCAUGGGCAGGUUGAAGGUUGAGUAACAUCAACUGGAGGACCGAACCGACUAAUGUUGAAAAAUUAGCGGAUGACUUGUGGCUAGGGGUGAAAGGCCAAUCAAACCUGGAGAUAGCUGGUUCUCCCCGAAAGCUAUUUAGGUAGCGCCUCGGACGAAUACUACUGGGGGUAGAGCACUGUUAAGGCUAGGGGGUCAUCCCGACUUACCAACCCUUUGCAAACUCCGAAUACCAGUAAGUACUAUCCGGGAGACACACGGCGGGUGCUAACGUCCGUCGUGGAGAGGGAAACAACCCAGACCGCCAGCUAAGGUCCCAAAUUACUACUAAGUGGGAAACGAUGUGGGAAGGCUCAGACAGCCAGGAUGUUGGCUUAGAAGCAGCCAUCAUUUAAAGAAAGCGUAAUAGCUCACUGGUCGAGUCGGCCUGCGCGGAAGAUGUAACGGGGCUAAGUAGUAAACCGAAGCUGCGGCAAUAUACUUUUGUAUAUUGGGUAGGGGAGCGUUCUGUAAGCGGUUGAAGGUGUGUGGUAACGCAUGCUGGACGUAUCAGAAGUGCGAAUGCUGACAUGAGUAACGAUAAAGGGGGUGAAAAACCUCCUCGCCGGAAGACCAAGGGUUCCUGUCCAACGUUAAUCGGGGCAGGGUAAGUCGACCCCUAAGGCGAGGCCGAAAGGCGUAGUCGAUGGGAAACGGGUUAAUAUUCCCGUACUUCUUACAAUUGCGAUGGGGGGACGGAGAAGGCUAGGUGGGCCUGGCGACGGUUGUCCAGGUUCAAGUGCGUAGGCUUAAGAGUUAGGUAAAUCCGGCUCUUUUUAAGGCUGAGACACGACGUCGAGCACCUACGGGUGUGAAGUCAUUGAUGCCAUGCUUCCAGGAAAAGCCUCUAAGCUUCAGAUUGUAAGGAAUCGUACCCCAAACCGACACAGGUGGUCGGGUAGAGAAUACCAAGGCGCUUGAGAGAACUCGGGUGAAGGAACUAGGCAAAAUGGUACCGUAACUUCGGGAGAAGGUACGCUCUUGAUGGUGAAGUCCCUCGCGGAUGGAGCUGACGAGAGUCGCAGAUACCAGGUGGCUGCAACUGUUUAUUAAAAACACAGCACUGUGCAAAAUCGUAAGAUGACGUAUACGGUGUGACGCCUGCCCGGUGCCGGAAGGUUAAUUGAUGGGGUUAGACUUCGGUCGAAGCUCUUGAUCGAAGCCCCGGUAAACGGCGGCCGUAACUAUAACGGUCCUAAGGUAGCGAAAUUCCUUGUCGGGUAAGUUCCGACCUGCACGAAUGGCGUAAUGAUGGCCACGCUGUCUCCACCCGAGACUCAGUGAAAUUGAAAUCGCUGUGAAGAUGCAGUGUACCCGCGGCUAGACGGAAAGACCCCGUGAACCUUUACUACAGCUUGGCACUGAACAUUGACCCUACAUGUGUAGGAUAGGUGGGAGGCUUUGAAGCACGUACGCCAGUAUGUGUGGAGCCGUCCUUGAAAUACCACCCUUGUAGUGUUGAUGUUCUAACGUCGACCCCUUAUCGGGGUUGCGGACAGUGCCUGGUGGGUAGUUUGACUGGGGCGGUCUCCUCCCAAAGAGUAACGGAGGAGCACGAAGGUGGGCUAAUCACGGUUGGACAUCGUGAGGUUAGUGCAAUGGCAUAAGCCCGCUUGACUGCGAGAAUGACAAUUCGAGCAGGUGCGAAAGCAGGUCAUAGUGAUCCGGUGGUUCUGAAUGGAAGGGCCAUCGCUCAACGGAUAAAAGGUACUCCGGGGAUAACAGGCUGAUACCGCCCAAGAGUUCAUAUCGACGGCGGUGUUUGGCACCUCGAUGUCGGCUCAUCACAUCCUGGGGCUGAAGUCGGUCCCAAGGGUAUGGCUGUUCGCCAUUUAAAGUGGUACGCGAGCUGGGUUUAGAACGUCGUGAGACAGUUCGGUCCCUAUCUGCCGUGGGCGUUGGAAGAUUGAAGGGGGCUGCUCCUAGUACGAGAGGACCGGAGUGGACGAACCUCUGGUGUUCGGGUUGUGUCGCCAGACGCAUUGCCCGGUAGCUAAGUUCGGAAUCGAUAACCGCUGAAAGCAUCUAAGCGGGAAGCGAGCCCUGAGAUGAGUCUUCCCUGAUACUUUAAGUAUCCUAAAGGGUUGUCGGAGACUACGACGUUGAUAGGUCAGGUGUGUAAGUGCUGUGAGGCAUUGAGCUAACUGAUACUAAUUGCCCGUGAGGCUUAACCAU